rnacentral:lncRNA from 1 species
UUAUUUUAUAAGCAAAAUUUUAUUGAUGGAUAGCAAUGUAGCACAAGAUCUCUUACGCAAAUCAUUCCCUAAAUUAAUACACAAUUACAAAGUAACACAACACAUGAAGAAAAAUCAAGUAGCAUCAACAAAACAAUCCUUGUAACAGACAAAACAAACAUACCAUAUAUAAAAAUUGAAACAAAUUUAUUCUUCCACUUCUGAAGCAAUAUGACAAGAAUUUUAUGCGAUUAUGCAUAAAUUUAUCCGCAUAUGUUUGUCGGAGCAAAAUUAUGCAUAAUCUUUUAAAUUCUAAAAACUCAAUCCAUGGUUAACCAACUUCUUUUUUGUGAUGGAGUUUAUAUGCUCAAUCAUUUCGGUUGUAAGAUGAUUCUUCCAAUCUCCAAUUUGACCUAGACGGAAAAAAUAUUUGUUUUCAAUGUUAAAAAACACUUUUUCAGUCUUGUUAACUUCCAAGUUACCCAACUUAUCAAAACUACAUAAAUUUAAAAUAUCAUCAACCACACCUUUGGAUUCUUCUUCUUUGGAAAAUGGACACUCCAAAAACUUAGCAAUUUCUUUCAAAUAAAAACAUGGCUUCAUUUUCAUUUCUUCAUAUUUCAAGAACAUUACCUUGUUUGAACUUUCCAAACUUUUCUUCCAAUAUCCUAAUACAUGCUCCCAAAAAGGUCCAAAAGGAGACACUCCUCGACAAAAACACUCAAAAGCCUCUUCUAAUGGAAGUGUGCCAUUCCUUUUUGAUCUAACAUUGCUUAUGAAAUGCCAAAAUGAAACAAAAACAUCUUUAGGAUCUCUACAUAGAUACAACACUUUGCAAGUUGAGUCUUUCACAGAUUUUGGUAAUGAUUCAUAAGAUAGAUGAGUGGAGAAUAUUCUUGGAGGAGAUAUUGUUUUGAGAUCAGGAACAAAAUCUUUGUUGAAAUAAAGGUCUAACUCCCAAAAGGGAACAAGUUCGUGUGGAUUUUUUGUGAGCAAUGGAUGAUUGCUAUGAAUAUUUGGAUAUUUGUUGCGGUUUAUCAAAUCAAAAGACAAUGCUUUGAGCCAAGUGGUACCUGAUUUAGGAGAAGUGACUAAGAGAAUAUCAGUAUCAAGGGCUUGAAAGUGCUUUUGACAAGAUAUAACAGCUUGAAGAAACUCUGGAGCAAACCAAAAUCCUUGAUAUUGAUGUAAAUGGAUUCCAUUCCAACAUUUUUCCGAUGGCAAUGUGGUUAACAAUUCCUCACAUUCUUCGCCUAAGUCAUAUUCUUGCAUGUAUUUUGGUACAAGAGUUUUUUCACUUAAUUUUUCCAUGGUGAAUAGUAUAACUCAGGUGAUAAUAUUGUGGGUUGAAAUCAAGAUACAAUUGUUUAUAUAUAUAUAUAUAUAUAUAUAUAUAUAUAUAUAUAUAUAUAUAUAGAGAGAGAGAGAGAGAGAGAGUUUAUAAUUUUAUUUUAUAAAAAAAUUAUUUAAUUAAUUUUUAUUUAUUUAAUAUAAAAUAUAUUUUAUUUGUGUUGUAAGAUUUGUUGNCUUCUUGAGAAAAUGGACACUCCAAAAACUUAGCAAUUUCUUUCAAAUAAAAAUAUGGCUUCAUUUUCAUUUCUUCAUAUUUCAAGAACAUUACCUUGUUUGAACUUUCCAAGCUUUUCUUCCAAUAUCCUAAUACAUGCUCCCAAAAAGGUCCAAAAGGACACACUCCUCGACAAAAACACUCAAAAGCCUCUUCUAAUGGAAGUGUUCCAUUCCUUUUUGAUCUAACAUUGCUUAUGAAAUGCCAAAA